rnacentral:rRNA from 1 species
UACAGAGGUCUCAAGCGUUGUUCGGAUUCAUUGGGCGUAAAGGGUGCGUAGGUGGCGGGGUAAGUCAGGUGUGAAAUCUCGAGGCUCAACCUCGAAACUGCACUUGAUACUGCCUUGCUCGAGUACUGGAGAGGAGAUUGGAAUUUACGGUGUAGCAGUGAAAUGCGUAGAUAUCGUAAGGAAGACCAGUGGCGAAGGCGAAUCUCUGGGACGGUACUGACGCUGAGACGCGAAAGCGUGGGGAGCGAACAGG